rnacentral:misc_RNA from 1 species
GAACGCACAUUGCGCCCCCUGGUAUUCCGGGGGGCAUGCCUGUUCGAGCGUCAUUUCACCACUCAAGCCCCCGGGUUUGGUGUUGGGGAUCGGCUCUGCCUUCUGGCGGUGCCGCCCCCGAAAUACAUUGGCGGUCUCGCUGCAGCCUCCAUUGCGUAGUAGCUAACACCUCGCAACUGGAACGCGGCGCGGCCAUGCCGUAAAACCCCAACUUCUGAAUGUUGACCUCGGAUCAGGUAGGAAUACCCGCUGAACUUAAG